rnacentral:rRNA from 1 species
CCGAGUCUUAACUGGGCGUUAAGUUGCAGGGUAUAGACCCGAAACCCGGUGAUCUAGCCAUGGGCAGGUUGAAGGUUGGGUAACACUAACUGGAGGACCGAACCGACUAAUGUUGAAAAAUUAGCGGAUGACUUGUGGCUGGGGGUGAAAGGCCAAUCAAACCGGGAGAUAGCUGGUUCUCCCCGAAAGCUAUUUAGGUAGCGCCUCGUGAAUUCAUCUUCGGGGGUAGAGCACUGUUUCGGCUAGGGGGUCAUCCCGACUUACCAACCCGAUGCAAACUACGAAUACCGAAGAAUGUUAUCACGGGAGACACACGGCGGGUGCUAACGUCCGUCGUGAAGAGGGAAACAACCCAGACCGCCAGCUAAGGUCCCAAAGUCAUGGUUAAGUGGGAAACGAUGUGGGAAGGCCCAGACAGCCAGGAUGUUGGCUUAGAAGCAGCCAUCAUUUAAAGAAAGCGUAAUAGCUCACUGGUCGAGUCGGCCUGCGCGGAAGAUGUAACGGGGCUAAACCAUG